GUGAGUAGUUCAGAGUUUGAUCCUGGCUCAGGAUGAACGCUAGCUACAGGCUUAACACAUGCAAGUCGAGGGGUCUGCUUCGGCAGACGACCGGCGCACGGGUGAGUAACGCGUAUCCAACCUGCCCUUCAUAUUGGGAUAGCCUCUCGAAAGGGAGAUUAAUACCGAAUAACAUGGUAAAGUUGCCUGACCUUACCAUGAAAGCUCCGGCGAUGAAGGAUGGGGAUGCGUCCCAUUAGGUAGUAGGCGGGGUAACGGCCCACCUAGCCAUCGAUGGAUAGGGGUUCUGAGAGGAAGGUCCCCCACACUGGAACUGAGACACGGUCCAG
rnacentral:rRNA from 1 species